UCUCUCUCCAGCAGCCCGAAUCUUCUUCAGGACCCCUCAGUGCAGUGAAGGUGUGUCUGGCACCUGUCAGAAAGCAGGCACUGUGUGCUGAAGACACAAAGGUGAUACCUAGUCACCCCCCCCCCAGGAAUUGGGGUUCAGGACACACAAUGAACGAAUGAAUGUACCGCCUGUGGUUCUGAGCUUCUGGACCCAGCAGGGCAGCGUGGCCAUUCUCACCUCUGCGGAGGCGCCUGCCCAGCUCCUGAAGGGAAGAGGAAGUCUAUAUGAAGACUCACCACAUUUUCCCGAGUGGCUCUGAGGAGUCAUAAAAAUAGAAGUGGCAAUCCAAAGGGAGGCCCAGCGUAGAGUGGAAAGGGCAGGUGUUUUGCCAUCCCAGAGGUUUGGGUCCUGGCUCCACAGCCUGCUCUGCAUGACCUUGAGCAAGUCCAGACCCUUCUCACAGGGCUGGUGUGAAAACAAGAGGAGAUGCGGCGUCCGCUACCAGGCAGGCCUCUGCCCGAACAACACCCACUGCCUUUUCUGCCCUGUGUGGCUCCGGCCUGUCAGAGCAGCCUUCCUGUUGAGUGCCUUCAAGGAGAGGGCAGGCAGGCAGGCAGGGUGUGCCCACCACUCCGUCACCUGUGGAGCACCGAGGCGCGAGGUCUGCUGCCGGUCAGCUCUGGCCAGGAGCUCGAGGUGGGGAAGCCAGCCCUGGCUCUGCUCCCCCAGGCAGUGGGGGAGCUGGGGAGCAGCCGCAGAGCUCUGAGGGAAAUAAGCCCCACGCCACACGCACUGCCUUUCCGGAUAUGGAAAAGUAGUCCUCAUCCACCUGGCUCUUCAGACCUACUCAUGAUUCCCUCCCACUCUCAGCUGGAACCCUGGCUUUAAACUUCACUGACAUAAGAGAAGCCGUCAAGAGGGAACUCCCUCAUCUUCUCACCCACAUCCACUCUGCCUUGCGUCACACCUGCCCUCCGCCUCGUGAGAUGGAAGUGCCCCUGCUCCUGGCUGUGGCCAGCCCUUCCAUUUGUGCUCUGUAAUUCGCCUCUCCUGCGUAUUUCUUCUUCCCAUCCUACUGGGUCCUGCCCUUAAGCAAACAAUGCUGGCUGAUGCCCGUUUGAAAACCAAAAACCUGGUACCUGGGUCCCUCUAGACACCUCCAUUUCAAGGCAGUGCCUCUGAAUGAGCUGCCAACCGCCCGACUCCCCCUUCGCUUCCCACUGGCUGCCCACCCAACUCACUUCCCCUCUGCUGAAGGUGCCCCAGCUCACCCACGAUAACCUCUCCACCUGGCCUCAUCUUUCCACACUGGACAGCUGAUCCCUCCGUCCUUGCUGAAACAUUUCCUUCUUGUGGUUUCCGUGACACCAACCUCCCAGCCACCUACCUGUCACUUGCUCCGUCUCCUUUGCUGGGUCCUUCUCUGCUGGGUUUCUGAUUACCAGGACCUUCUCUUCUCAGGAAUCUCAUAAUUUGAAUAUAUCUAUAAUGCAAUAGCACCUAAAUUUGUUCUCAGGUAUGAAUUGCCCCUAAAACUCUUAUCAUCACAUACCAGAGUCUACUUGGUAUUUCCGUUUGAGGUCUGUCAUUUCUUUACCAGGCCAGACAAUUCUUGAGUAACCAUACUGCUCCUUCCCCCAGGGGCUUACUAUCUUAUUACACAGUUUCAUUUUCAGAAUUACACUUAUUUUGCUUAUUUAUCUGGUCUCCCUGAAACUAGUAAGCUCCAUUAUCUGCUUCUCCUGUUCAGUAUUGUUAAGACAGUGCUUGUCACACAGUGAGCCUUCACGUUUUGUUGAUUGACUGGGGCACAAGUCUUGGCAUAGCUGAUAUUCCAGGGCCGCUGACACUUGAGUAAAAGGAAGCUUCGUAACUUAAGGACAUGACACAUUGAGUUAGAUAAUCAUAAAGACCAUUUCCUAAAUUCCUACUCCCCUGGCUCCUGUUUUGGCUUCUAUCUGGAUGGAACGUGCCUGCGUUUCAUUGUUAACUACUUCCCAUCAAGCUCCCCUCGGGAUGUAUGAAAUGAAACACGGGGACCCCAGGGGAACUGCCCACCUUUGCUCGGGACUCUGAAAAGGCCCGUAGGUCCUGUGCUCACAGCGCGCCACCCCCGCUCAGGAGGGGGCUCCGGCCCCCAGCAGAGGGCGGCAGAGCAGCCCCAGCCCCGACUCACCCAAGACAAAAGCGGCGGCAGGGGAGGCUGGGGUGCACGCCUGCCAUUCAGCGGGGGAGGGGAAAGAUGACAGGGGGCAGGGCAGGAGAGCAACGACGGGAACCCAGACAACAGAUGGAGAUGACGAGCCUUGGAGGACGCGGCGUCUGGUCCUGGGCUCUGACUCAUUUCAACAUUGAGCACUGGGGCCUCUCUCGGAUGUGAGAUCUGAUCCAUCCCCGGGAGCUUCUAGUAUUAGAAAAGUCCACUAAAAGUAAACGUGGGGCCUAGGAUGCAUUUUAGCUUGUUGCUUUGAAUAACUAAAUUUACCCUUGAACUUAUGAUCGGCUAGAAUCAAAAUCUAAAGGAGAGAACUUGUUUUCGGUACAAUGCCUCCGACCCAUACUCAAAGCCAGCAACACGGGCAUAUGGUCCGCUCUUCUCCCGGAGGCAGGGGGCUGCCAAGGGCAGACGGACUUGGGGCUUCGCUGCGGAAGGAAUACAACCUCCAUCAUUCAAAAGAAGUCACCCUUGGUUGUGGCUGGCAAAGCUUCCAAGUAACUUCACAGGCCCGGCUGCUCCAAGUGGGGCAAUCUAACUAGAGAUAAAAAUAAGAGCAGUUCCCACUGAAAACAGGGGAGCUGGAGUCUGUGGAGGAAAUGGUUCUCAUGGCAACAGACUGCCCAAUGGUGAGCUGGAAGGCUUUCUACAAAAUCUCAUCAGUCUACACGCUGUCUAAAUGGAAAUGCU